AAUCUCUCUCUCUCUCUCUCUCUCUCUCUCUCUCUACUAACGUCUCUCUCUACUCACUCUUCUUCCAUACAAAUUUUCAUGUCUCCUUAAAUGAAGCAGAUUUCUUAGAAUCUCCUUCAAAUUUCUCUUUAUUGUUUCCCUCCGAUUCUCCCACAGAUUUUCCUCUAUUUUUUUUUUCUUCUGAUUUUAACAUCUUUCCUCUUCCAAUCUAGACUGUUCAGUUGGCUUUUCUAAACUAUUUGUAGCCUUUGUAAGCUUUACAUUUACGAUUAAAUGCUGCUUUCUUCAAAAAGAUAUUUUAGAGUAGCAACGGAGCUGGAUGGAAGCGCCUGAUGCUUUUCGCUUUUAGUUAUGGGGGACAAAAGUUUGGCAUCAAAGACUCUGGUAAAGUAAUUGAUAAUCAUAUUUAAAUACUUGUGCUGUGGAGGAAAUUGUACCCCAACUUUGUAGCUGGUGUAUCAUGGUUUUGUUGUUGUGGCUGGCUAAGCUGGAGAUGGACAGGUGCAUGUGAUUCCUCUCCGAUGGCCAGACCGUUUGUGAGAAGGGAAUUUCUGUUUGCUCUGUUUACGUCCCUUGUUCCAUAGACCUGGGAUGUGAAAAUAUGCUGAUGAGGGUGGAAUGAAACGCCUUGCAAUUUGAUUCAGGACUAAGGUAGUGAUGGUUUGAAUCAAUAAGUUGCAAGGAUCUUACAAGUUUCUGCUUACUCAAACUUCUAAUUUAUACAAUUCUUGAUUUUCAUGACGAAAUAGUUUACCUUCUGAUAGAGUUCAACAUUUUCUUGGUGAAUGAGGUUGCCCUGCAACAGAUAUAUCAAAGUUUAGCUAUUUGAAUUAAAAAACUUUACAAAGCAAGUCGGUAGCCUUUGUUUACAGGUUUACCUUUCUAUUUAGUUCUUGUAUUUGAUCCAUUAAAAUUUGGUCCUGAUGAAGUCAAUAUCAGUUCAGUGAGAUGGAUGAGUUCCACUUUAUGGAAAUCUAAAGACUGCACAGUGUGGUUGUGGGAAUUUCAAACCUUUUUCAUGCGAACACCCUGAAGACUCAUUUCCAAUUGGUUCUCCAAAUUCUGCAAAUCUGUUAUGCUUAAGCCAGAAAGUUGUUCACCCAUCAUUUGCCUGUUAUCAUCAUAUGGAAAUGCAGUUAGGUUUUAAACUUUUGUCUAGGACAUUUUAAACUUUGCUAAUGACGCAUAUACUGAGAAGCAAUGAUCCAUUUAAUCUUUUUACUGUAUUCUGUUCCUGAAGGAUUUUUCCAACAGCAUUAGCUAUCUUGGAUGCUUCCUUUUAUGUUCUGAAGAUAUUAAUAGGAAGAAAUAGAUGGGCAAAAGAUAGUUGGAGAAAUGACUUGUUCAGCUGUAGACGUGAUACUAGAGGUAUUUAUAGGUAUGUGUUCAUGCAGAUGCUUUAAUCUUGUUCGAUAACAAGAAUUUCAAAAAUACUUGUAAAUGUGACUUGGCUUGAAAGUCUUUGGGUUAACUCUGCGAUAAAUUUCUUGGGGUCAUAAACCUGACUAGUACUACUUGAAUACUUUUAGGAGAGGGUGUAUGGUUGCUGCCUUCUUGUGGCCCCUUUUGCUCCUGAUGCACAAUGCUGGCAUUUCUUAGAGAUGGUCCCAAUCCCAUUGCAGAUAAAGGAGGACAGUUGCGGUUAGCAGAGGUCCAGUGUAAGAUAUGACGCUACACCUUAAAGCUUGAAUGAAUCAAUAAGGCUUGGUUGUGUUGAGUUCGUAUGCUUUAUCAUAUGCGUAUUUAUUUAUUCAAUUGGGCCGUGCUUUGCUGGAGCCUGAAGACAUGACAUGUUAGUUGACAUAUAUUUGUGUUUUUAAUUUCAGUUUAUCCUGCUAAGUUAGAACAAUAACACAAUGAUUUCCUGUCUACACUUUGAAGCUUAAUGAAGUACAUUUCUGUGGUAGAAACAACUUCAUUAUGCAUACUCUCUUAUUAACCUAUGAUAUGUGUUAUUGUGUUGUUUCAAAUGCAAGUCAUUUGUUGAUUGUGUUGCACAAUCUUGCCAGUCAUUAUCUGCUGCUUUUAAAUUUGAGGAUAUCUAUAGUAGAUAGGAUUUUCAUGCAGCUAAUAACCGGCAGAACCAUUGCCGUUGUCUAACUUUUUAUAUUUAUCAUGUGCUUUAAAUAUCAGAAUCCAGUCAAGGAAUAUUAAUUGGUUUCUAUUUCUCAUUCCUAAAUCAUUUUGGACUAGACACUAGAUAUGUUAUUUCCUUCAGCAGUAUUAGAAUUAGGACUUAUACUGGUUUUGUCAUUUGCAACAUUUUGCCAUACCAAUUUUAUACUUGCAUGUUCAAGGGGCUCUUAUGCCUUUCUGAAAUCAUAUUAAAGGCCAAGUCCUAGAUGCGGCACAGCUUAUCUGUAGUCUGUACAAAUUGUAUCUUCUUUUCCCUUCUUUAUAUCCACAUUAUGCCGGAUAAUUUAUUUAGUUAGAUUUCCAUUCAUAAGUCCAUGUUUAUUAGCACAUCCUGCUGAUAAAUGAUCAGAAACAUUAAGAUUUUCUUAUGUUAUUAACACGUUUUAUAAAACAAAAUAUAUCAACCCUUCAGUGUCAUAAUGUUAUGUUUGCAAGUAUAGCUCGUCCAAUGGGUGCAAACUUUUAGCUGAAAUGCAGAAUUGUUAGAUGCAGUAUCUUUUAGUUGUAACAAUCGCCAAAAAAAUCCAUGCUGCUCGUGGUAACGGCAUUGUUUAAAGCAGAAAAGGCAAAGUUCCACAUGGUGAUUCCUAGUAAUGCAUCUGGAGCUAUCUUUGACAAAAAUGCAAUGCUUUAAAAACUAGAGAUGUGUAAGCUGUUCCACUGCAAGUAGUAAAUUUAAUUUAACAUGUUCGUUUUGAUGUAUAACUAAAUUCUAUAUGCAAAUGUGGAAAAUAAUACGACGAAUCAAAUUUUGCACAAACUCGCAAAAUGAAAUGAAAAUCGGUUUCUGAAAUACCUUGACUUCAGAGGUUGGGUUGCCCAUUUGAUGAUGCUCGUCUUUUGAUUUGUUGUAUCUUUCAAUGACUGAUUUCAUGCUGCAAGAGCAGAUUCAUAUUGCAUCAGGCAUGUGUGUCAUGUUCUAUGUGAAUGCUUUCUGAUAACAUUUAAGAACAAAAUGCAUGGAAUCACUAAAAGGAUAGUUUCUCAAUGAAACAGAAUGCACACAUUUAAACUAUAUCAUUUAUAUCUUUUCCAGAAUUCAUUUGAGUUGUGCUGACUAUAGGAGUUUAAGCUGCAAGUGUAAUAUUAUCAUUUAAGAAACUCAAGUCCGCAAGACUUUAGAUCUCUCAACUUGAAAUAUCAUAAAGAUUGAAAAAUUAUCUUCAGAUUGAGUUUCUUAAAUGAUAUUACAUUCUUGAGAAUCAUAUUACAUUCUCCGGCAGAAUGAGAAUGUUUUUCAGCGGAGCACCAUCUCAAAUAUAAUUUUCCAAUCUUUAUUUGAUUUGAUGCGGGGUCUCGAAUAUAAGUUUUCAAUUCAUUUUUAACCAUGCAUUCUUUACUGGGAUGUGAAAAGGAAGCUCACUUCCUAUGGCUUUGUCUUCCCUCAUUAUUUUUCCUUCAUCCGACACUAUUGAGAAUCGUGUUCAACUGACACUAUUGCGAAUCAUGCCUGAAUGAGUUAUAACAAACUACCUGCAAUUAUUCAUCAUAUGGUUGUGCAGAAAGCAUAAAAGUGCAAUUCUUGGUAAGUUUGGAACUUAAAUUCUAAUCUUUUGCGAGUUAAUUAGGUGGAUGUCAGAAGUUUAUGGUUCUCUACCUUACUUGGAAAAGCUGCGACAUAUUGAGGAGUUCGAAUCAGGUGGGUUUUGGUGCAAUAAAAUUUAUAGGGCUUUUGUGAGACGUAGGGCUGGUGCGAGACAAUUUUAAGGAGAGAUGAAAGAAGGAAAUAUCUGUUGGCAGACGGUAUGUAACUGACAUCUGAAAAUGUGCAUCUACCAUUUUUUUGACACAAAAACAAUAGUAGAAUUCCAAGUUUUCAACUUUUUGAACUGUUCACUUCACCCAUUCACAAGAAGAAAGGUCAUCUUCCAAACUGCUUAAUAAUGGGCAGCUUUCACUCCUUUGCGGGGAUGCACAAGGUUGUGAAUUUUUGCUGCUUUCACAGUAAAACAGCAGGGUUUUUUGGGUAACACUCAUUUUGCUUCCUGCUAAAAGCUAUUCCUGAGCUUUUUCCAAAGUAGUAGGAGGCUUUGUUCCCAGACGCUGCCACAACUGCAUCUGAAAAGUUUCUGGAGCUUCAUUUAGAGUACCGAUCCCUUCCUGACAAUUUUGUUGCUUCAUGAUAACGAAAUUAUCUUAGCAUCAGUUCUAUCUAUUGCUUCCCCUUGAAAUGUCUUCAUCAGGGUGAUUGAUGUCUUAAAACAACUUUCUGGUCACCCUUUAAUACCCUUACCGGCAAUCUUCAUCAGGGUGAUUGAUGCCUUCAUCAAGGUGAUCGAUUAACCACUAUAUAUGAGGCUGAAAUGAUUUUCUAUCAGGUCUUGAUAAUUUUGGGUUGAGCAAAAGUGUCAGAUGUGACUGAGAAAUGGUAACAGAAAUGAUCCGUGAAUCUAAUGAAUUACACCACCCACCCACAAAACCAAGAUAAAAGUAGUAAUCUGUAAUCUCAUCUUGUUUGUUAGAUCAUAUUGAUGCAUAGGUGCAACUAUAGCAUGUCAUCUUAUAUCUAUAAUAUUCCCUGAAUUAAGUCCAAGGCCAAACCAGUAGUGGAUGAAGACACAGGUGGGAAACUUGGGGCUGGAUAAAUGAAAAGAAUUAAAUUAGACUGUAUUAGUAGUAGACAGGAUUACAAAGUAAGAAGUUAAAUAACCUCCAAAGUAAAGGUGCGAAGUCACCAAAGCUGUAGUGAAUAGUCUAGUGGUUGAUGCUGGGUAGCAAUUAUGUAUUUCUGGAGAGUUAGCAGCUGUCCACAGGGACCUUUUGGUUUGUUAGAAUAGGUAUGCUUGUAAGACAUUCGAGUUUUUUAUUGAUAAUUUGGUGAAAGGAACUUAAUCCCAGCUCGAUGUUUUUUUUUCCUUGUUAGAACCGUAUCUGUAUUACAUUUUAAUAGGAAAAUUGAUUUCGCACACGGCAUGUACUACGUAGAAAACUGCCAGUUAUUAUUUCAAGUAGAUGGCCGGUCAUAACACGUUUGUUUCUCUAAUGCAUCAUGCAUGAAUAUUUCAGUUGUAACAGUUUUGUCGUGCAUUAUGUAUGGACUUGCAGUUGAGUAUUUGCAAACAAAGGACCUUUGACUGAAUUUUAGCAUCAGGACCAGGGUUACAAAGGAACAUUCACAAAACCUUGAAUUUCAAUUUGUUUGCCAUGCAUGUCGUAUAACAUGCUAUCAUCUUCCAGUUUUCUUAGUGACAGGAAAAUGGAUAGAAGACAAUUAAGCCAAUCUCUUCAAAUGUCUAUAUAAAUCAUGAGAAAUUGUCUGAUCUCAUGCAAAAAGGUGCGUGUAUUCUUUGUUUCUAUUUUUGCUUUCUUUUCUGUCAAAUGUUCUUGGCAGGCAGUGACUGCAUCUGAUCAUAUUUUUUGGAUGAAUGUUAGUUGCGUUAAAAUUAGGGCCCAAAAUCUAAGUUCAUAUGAAAGCUGUAUAUGCUAUGCGUUGAUAAACGUGUUAAUUGUUUUAUAAUUGCCUCUUUUUUUUGGGUCCUAUCCUACCAGAUGAGUUACAGUAGUAACUAUAUUUUUUUCCCAGGCUCUAGAUUUGCAGUUUAGUCCUCGCUCUUACCCAAAAUUAAUCACGUCUACUUUGAUCGAGUGGUUUUGGGAAAACCAAUUAACUCUCUCAUUCUGUUCCAAACAAAUAACUAUAAGUCUAAAAAUCUUUGCAUUCUGGUAGUUUGGAUUUGAUUAACAGUGUUAUAGAGUUGUUAAGUUUUACUUGGGUUCUACAGCUUGAAUACUACAAUAGCACUUGUUCAUAGCUCCUCACUCAAAGUUUAAAACAUGCAAGCACUUCAAUGGUCACACGAAAUUCCAUACCAUAGCCGCUAGCAAACUCUGAAUCUACACCGAAUUUAAUCACCGACUAAAGCCUGUUCAAUUACUUGCAAAGUUAUCUGACACGUUUCAGAAACUGUGUUUCCUGCUUUAAGAACACAUAUGCACGCCUUUCACCAACAACUUGUCCCUCUCUCCAUCGCUCAACUAAAGGCAUCCAUCACAUCAUGAAUAUCGACGGAGAUGAAGAAUUCCCUUAACAGACUGCUCCUAGUCCUUGUAACCAUCCCUCCAGCUUCUCAUUCACAAUCACUCUGACACUACUAAGGGCGAACGUUCAUUCAUCUCCUUGCUUCAAACAAUGCUAAAAACUUUCUCAAUUUAGAUAAAAAAGACUGAUUAAUUCAAUCAUUAGCCUUCUCAAAAUCUCCCAGUUCCUUGGGAAUAGGCUAAUGAAGACAUGGGAUCCUUUCCUACUAGUUCCUUGGGAAUAGGCUGAGAGAAGGCGAUUGCACAAAAAUCUCCCAGUUCUGCCUUCUCAUGAGAAUAGCCUCUUUUUUGUCAAACACAAGCCGAAUAAAAAAUAUUUGAUUGUUAAACAACAAAAAUCCCGACCUCAAUAUCCCGCAAGCUUGGUUUGUAUGGUCAGAAAAGUACCUCUAAUAUGCUUAUUAAAGUGGGUGCUAGAUAUUCUUAUAGGUAAACUGAUGCAAACAAAAACAUUAUAAGAUAAACAAAAACAACAAAUAACAUGUUACUAAACUAAAAACUUUAAUUUAAAAUUAUAUUUUUUAAUAAUUCACCAUACUAAAUAGUCUAUUGAAAUACAAACUAAGUAGCCAUAUUUAUACUACUAGUAUUAAGCCUAAAUUGAAUAAGAAAAUCAAAUUCCUAAACCAAAUAUUUUUAAAAUUAAAUGGAAAAAAAAUACCAAAAACACCAUAAAAGAAAAUAUAUGAAUAAAAAUAACUAAGGAAACAAAUAUUUUUUUCCAAAAAAUAUUCUUGCAUCAAUUUUCUUGAGUUGAAAAGAAUUCAUUCUCGAGUUAAAAUUGUUCUUAUUUCAAUCUUAUGAAUAUCCAAUAAAGAUUCCUCAACCUCAUUUCUCUCUUCGUUUCGAAUGUAUAACCAUUUUAGGUAUCAACUUCAAUCCUUGUUAAAAUUUAUAUAAAAAACAACAAUGAACAAAUUAUUUCUCUUCCAUUAGCUCCUAGAUUAAUGAAUUGCAUAUCUCAAAUCUGCUUCAUUAACAUGUAUUGUAUUUGUAAAACCGUUAAACAAAUUCAUUUUUGUGAUAAUAAAAAACUUGCAAUAAAAAAAUUCAACACAACUUCAAUCAACAAUUGCUUUUUUGAGCACUUUCUAUGUUUUUUUUGCAUCCAACCUCUAAUUUAUUAAUAAAGACACCACGUCUAUCUCAUUAUAAACUUGAUCACCAAGUUCUCCACAAUAUCCAUCUCGAUCAAGAGGUUGCCUCCUCGUAUUUGAAAGAGGUUCUCAAAAUUGGCCAAGAAUUCAUGAUCACUUUCCUCGCGAUCCCCUAGUUUUUUCUUCUUCAUCUUCUCUAAUUAACGGUAUAAUUUUUUAAUUUGCCUAUGCAACUUUAUCAUUGCUAGUCGACUAGUUAAUUUUGUAAUUUGUUCUAUGUCUUCUACUACUAGUUCCUGAAAAGUUUUUUUUUUCAACGUAGAACUUCAUCCCCUUCUACACAAACAUGCCAUAUUAUGUGAUAUUUUUUAACCAUGGUUAUUUAACAACACACAAUUAACUUUUAAAAAUCAUUAGGAUUUGAAACCAACACAAACGAAAACAAUGCAAGAAAUACAACAAUAACAAACAACAUAAAAUUCUACCAAGUAGAGUCAAUGGACCAAAAAUUCUAAUUUGAAAUUUAUAUUUCUCAAUAAUUCACUACACCAAGUAGGCUAUUGAAAUACAAACUAAGAAACUUUAUUUAUACUAGUUUUAGUUUAAACUGAAAAAAAAAUUCUAAACUAAGUAGGCAAAAUAAUAAAAAUACUAAUAUGAAUAAAAAUAACUAAGGAAAUAAAUAAUUUUGCUUAAGACUCUUUUUCAUCCUAAAGUUACCGAGCAUAGUAACAAAUGAACUGCAUUCUAAUCUUGCUCGCACUGAGGUAGCUAUGGCGACCCAUGUUGAGUAACUCCAGUUUUAAUGAGGACCAAAGAAUCGGAAAAAAAGUUGUCCUUAUUGGCAGACCUAAUAAGGACACCAAUAAACCUUAUUGUUGACAAAAUAAUUUGUGUUCCUUAUUUUCUGACUUUACCUCUAUGAUUAUAGUGGACGACAUAAUUUGUGUUCUGUUUUUUCUGACUUUACCUCUAUGAUAAUGAUAUCGUGCAUAUUUUGAGAGCACUAACAAUAAACCUUAUUCUGUUAGUUGGUUACAAGCAAGGUUUCAAGGUGUCAAGGCUUGUGAAACCUUUGUGUAAAUCUCUUCAUGUAAUAAUUACUGAUUUAUAGUGCAGGUUUAAAGUUUAAAGUUUAAUAUAUGUGUUCUAAGCUUACGAAUAAGUGGGAACAUCAUGCUUUUAAAUAGUUCAUAAUUUAUAUUUUCAAGUAAACACAAUUUUAAAGGGCCAAAGGGACUUCAAGCAAAGAGAUGCCAAGGAGGUUUCAACCUUCAAUUUAGACCAAUUACAAAUUGACUGCUUGACAAUUCAAACAUCCGGUUUGAAGAACCAUAAUUAGCUAAUGAAUUUUGUUGAGAAGAAGGUGAUGGUGGCGAUAUUAGUAUUGGUUCGAUUAGAAGGUAGUGAUAAUGAUAGUAAUAAUUGCGGCAGUAAUUGCAACAAGCACGAUGACAAGGAGGCAAUGGUAGCAUGCUUGUAGGAUACCUAGUGAUUUGAAGAGAGAAUGACAUUGGAGGCCAUAACAGUGGCGAUGAUAGUAAGGGAAUGGAUGGGUGGUGUUAACGAGAGAUUUGAAUCUCCAUAUAAAAUACUCUCCAUUCCCAUAAGGUGAAACUAGUUUUCUCAAGACUAACUAAAUUCGCAAAUCUAUAGGAAAAAUGUUUCUGACUGGCCGAUUUUUCUGUGUCAUCAAAUUGUAAAAUAAUGCGAAACAGUCUUGACGAGUAUUUCUAUUGUGAUAUUAAUAAGGGAUUUUCAUAUAAUUCUUAUCUCUUAGUAGAAAAUGUUUAUUGGAUCCCUCUGCUAAUAUAAUACCGCAUUGUAAAUUUUUAUUUUAUACCAACUCUCUGUUGUUUCAAAUUAAGAAUUGAUCAAUGAAAUAUGUUGGAAAAAAUUAUUCACUAGA